rnacentral:rRNA from 1 species
AUUGAACGCUGGCGGCAGGCCUAACACAUGCAAGUCGAACGAGUGGCGGACGGGUGAGUAAUGUCUGGGAAACUGCCUGAUGGAGGGGGAUAACUACUCGAAACGGUCGCUAAUACCGCAUACUAUCGGAUGUGCCCAUAUGGGAUUAGCUUGUUGGUGGGGUAACGGCUCACCAAGGCGACGAUCCCUAGCUGGUCUGAGAGGAGGACCAGCCACACGGGAACUGAGACACGGUCCAGACUCCUACGGGAGGCAGCAGUGGGGAAUAUUGCACAAUGGGCGCAAGCCUGAUGCAGCCAUGCCGCGUGUAUGAAGAAGGCCUUCGGGUUGUAAAGCACUUUUGGCGGGGAAGCGGUACCCAAAGAAUAAGCACCGGCUAACUACGUGCCAGCAGCCGCGGUAAUAC